rnacentral:rRNA from 1 species
CACGUAGGGGGCGAGCGUUGUCCGGAAUUACUGGGCGUAAAGGGCGCGUAGGCGGCCUAAUAAGUCAGAUGUGAAAACCCUGGGCUUAACCCUGGGAUUGCAUUUGAAACUGUUGGGCUUGAGGGCAGGAGAGGAAAGCGGAAUUCCCAGUGUAGCGGUGAAAUGCGUAGAUAUUGGGAGGAACACCAGUGGCGAAGGCGGCUUUCUGGACUGAACCUGACGCUGAGGCGCGAAAGCCAGGGUAGCGAACGGGAUUAGAUACC